CUAAGGGCCUGGUUCCAGUAAAAGCAGGAGGUAUCAGUCGCUCUCCUGCCUACUCUGUUCUUCUUCCCCUUGCCUCUGUUCUCAGCUGCUUGAUCUUUUCCUCCUUUGCGUCACUGUGGCACUCAUCUGUUCGUACGAUGUGAGUCUUUCCUGCGUGCUGUGAUCACACAGAAGACUGUCUGCACAUCUACUUACGUGGAAUCCAGGGAGGCUGUGGGAGUUUGCUUUUUGCCUGCUCUGUGGGGGCCUCCUGUGGCCUGAAUUAGAUGGCUGCUUCUCUUACUGUGAGGCGAAAAGAUCCCGUGACUUAGACUUGUGAGAGUGGUGCGGAUCAUGCCAAGAUCAGAAAGAAGCAGUCGCUUUCCUGUGUGUUUUGAAACGUUGCAUUUCCAUGGCAGGUACUCACAUCAAGGGAAAAACAGGCAGCGUAAUAAUGGAUGUGACAGUCUGCAAAAUGCUGUGUGCUGUGUCAAAAUAAUCCAGUCCAUAACCAAGAUACCCUCUGGAUGCCACCACCUCAUUGGAAGACAAGGAACAGGCAGUAGAAGACAUAAGAAGUGUUCUGAGAAGAGAGACACAGGAUAUGGCAGUAUUAUUGUCAACUUUAAUUUCAGUAUUUUUGGAUUUUCAUGUUCUGGUUAGCUGUUGAAGAAAAUGGAGAGAACAUAAGUAACCCCUAAGAAAGCAUGUAUUUUCAAGUCUUCAAUGUGAAAACUUCAUUUAUGAUUAAUUGUGGGUAAUGCAGUUGGAUGGUUUGCACAUGGUCAGAAAGCUUUUCUAUUUAAUCCCUUAGUGUGAUGUUUACUUCUUUCUUUAAAAAAUAAAAAUAAAAAAAAUAGCUUUUAUGUUUGUACA
rnacentral:lncRNA from 1 species